ACCAAUUAGGCGAUUGUUGAACGCGUUACGUUUAACAAUUCGCUCGUACAGCUGUUGAAACGCGGUAAACAAUGCGCGAGAACUAAAACCACAAAGGUUCGGUGCCAAUUUUGUGACUUUAAACAAAUCUGUGAUUGAUAACCUAACUUAACUGAGAUGUCGCAGAAAAAUUACACGCUGCCCCACGAGAACGAUGGCUCGACCUCCACCGCGGACCUGUCCAGGAUUGGGUCGGUGCCCAGCGAGACGUCCCUCCUCACCCCCAACCAGACCUACUUCGCGGACGAGAAGGUCCAAAUACCCGAAACCGACAAGUUGGGGUUUAGCUUUAAGAAGCUGUGGGCCUUCACCGGACCGGGUUUUCUGAUGUCCAUCGCCUAUCUGGACCCGGGGAACAUCGAGAGCGACUUACAAAGUGGUACUGUGGCCCAGUACAAACUGCUUUGGCUGUUACUGAGCGCCACUAUUAUGGGGCUCAUGAUGCAACGGUUGUCCGCCAGAAUUGGGGUGGUAACUGGUUUACAUUUAGCUGAAAUGUGCUAUAGACAAUACAGAAAACUUCCCCGCAUCAUAAUCUGGCUGAUGAUAGAAAUAGCAAUAAUUGGCUCAGACAUGCAGGAAGUAAUUGGAACCGCCGUGGCCCUUUACCUCCUGUCCAACAGACGCAUUCCCAUUUGGGCUGGAGUCCUGUUCACCAUCGCCGACACUUUCACGUUCCUGCUGUUGGACAAGUACGGUCUGCGCAAACUCGAGGCGUUCUUCGGCCUCCUGAUCACCAUAAUGGGUGUCACCUUUGGAUACGAGUACUUCACCUCCAUGCCCAGCGCCACCAGCAUCGUGGAGGGCAUGUUCAUACCGUGGUGCGAGGGUUGCGACUCCAGGGCGAUGGUCCAAGGCAUUGGGAUAAUAGGAGCGGUCAUAAUGCCUCACAAUUUGUACCUGCACUCCGCCCUGGUGAAGUCCAGGGACGUGGACAGGUCCAAACCGGAGAAAAUUAGGGACGCCAACUUGUAUUACUUCAUUGAGACAUGUAUAGCCUUGUUGGUCAGCUUUUUGAUCAACGUCUUUGUUGUGGCUGUGUUCGCCCACGGGUUGUUCCAAAAGACCAACGCUGAGGUGCACGAGGCGUGCCUGAAGGUGCCUUCGAUUAAUGCCACUAUUUUCCCCGCCAACGACAACUCGACAGUGACAGCCAACUUGUAUAAGGGCGGCAUAUUCCUGGGUUGCACCUACGGCCUGGCCGCCCUCUACAUCUGGGGCGUCGGCAUUUUGGCCGCAGGACAAAGUUCCACCAUGACAGGCACAUACGCUGGCCAGUUUGCGAUGGAGGGCUUCCUGAACCUGCAGUGGCCUCGCUGGAGGCGUGUGCUGCUGACCAGAUCAAUAGCCAUUAUUCCCACGUUCCUGCUGGCGUUCUUCAGCAACAUCGACGACCUGACCAGCAUGAACGACUCGCUGAACGCCAUCAUGAGUCUGCAGCUGCCUUUCGCCGCCAUUCCUUGCGUGGCUUUCAGCAGCAACCCCCAGAUUAUGGGGGAGUUCGUCAACGGACUGGCCACGAAGAUCGCCUCCUUGUUGCUCAGUUUGUUUGUGAUAGGGGUGAACACUUACGUGGUCAUCGAUUUGUUGAACCACUCGCACAUUCCGUGGUACACGGUGGCGUUGGUGGUGGCAGUUGGUGUUCUGUAUCUGAUAUUCUGCGCCUAUUUGAUCAUACACAUGGCUGUGUCGAUGGGUUCGUCCAGCUUGCUGAGAUACGACUUCGUCAGCAAGUACAUAAUGGGACCAAUCGACGCCACCCUUCAGGUUGACCCAGUCAGUUACUCGAGCGAAGUGAACGCUUAAUGGAUUUAAAGCUUAAGCAUUGAAAAAAAUGCUUUAACGAAGAGUAGCUAUUCCUUUUAUUAAAUUUGGUGAAACUAAUAACUAGUUGUGUUUUAGAUCGAAUCUGGACCUUUCACCAAAUAUACAAGUAGCAAGAUUUUAGAAGAUGUAGAGUAAAUGGAGUGUUUGUAAAUAUUAUGUAAGAUAUAGUCUAGUGUUUUAUCAAUCAAUGUAUGAGCAAUAAGUACAAGUUACGUCCAAUUUAUAAUGCCAUGAAAGUGUUGUACUUUUAUAUUAUUAUUUUGAGUGGUAUUUCUGGAUGUAAUAUGUAAGAAAAAUAGUAUAUCUGCUUUAACUUGUGAUAUGUACCUAUUUUUAUAAACAAUUUAGAUAUUUAUGCAUAUUGUAAAUAAAAAUGUUGUUUUAAAUAAAUAUCUUAUAUUUA